UGGGGAAUAUUGCACAAUGGGGGAAACCCUGAUGCAGCGACGCCGCGUGAGUGAAGAAGUAUUUCGGUAUGUAAAGCUCUAUCAGCAGGGACGAAUAAAUGACGGUACCUGACUAAGAAGCCCCGGCUAACUACGUGCCAGCAGCCGCGGUAAUACGUAGGGGGCAAGCGUUAUCCGGAUUUACUGGGUGUAAAGGGAGCGUAGACGGUGAUGUAAGUCAGAUGUGAAAGCCCGGGGCUCAACCCCGGGACUGCAUUUGAAACUAUGUUGCUAGAGUGCAGGAGAGGUAAGUGGAAUUCCUAGUGUAGCGGUGAAAUGCGUAGAUAUUAGGAGGACCACCAGUGGCGAAGGCGGCUUACUGGACUGUAACUGACGUUGAGGCUCGAAAGCGUGGGGAGCAAACA
rnacentral:rRNA from 1 species